UCGCUGUUGUCAGAUCUUUCCUCAGCUGCUUUUCCUAUUUUUUUUUUAACGUACCAGCCGUAUAUUGGACCGCAGAGUCCACUGGAGUUGGAUAAUGGCCAGUAAACAAAACAACAGUAAAUAAAGGGACCUCGUCCUGUCACAAAAGUGUUUAAACCUGGAGAAUAUGUUUACGUUCAAGCACAAAAGAGUUUUCCUUGCCAACGAUCAUAUCGACCUUUUCCCACAACAGCUGCAACAGUGCUCCGAGACCCCCAAAUUGGAAAUUCCAGGAAACUAUAAACUCGUUUUCCGAUUGACUGCUUCAUCACUGACAAGAAUCGAGAAUCAGGCGAAGUAGCCUAGUUAUUUUCCCAUCCGUGCAGGGCUUGCAGUAGACUGGACUGCAAAAAUUCGCCUGACCACUAACUGGCAGCAGAGAGACACGGAAACUCCUCGUGCGGAUUUUUCCAGACCAGGUAAAAUACCCCGCCUGCGUUUGUUUGGACCUUUGGAGCCCGGAAAAGCAAAGCGGAAGAAGUGAUGCUAGUGAAUCUGUAUGAUCCUGGUAAGAUGGCGAUGCUGAUGAUGGCGGAUGCUAUCCAGAACUGGUGAAACCGGUGGAUGAACCACAUUCCCUCUGAGCUUUUGGAAAACUCCCUUCCAUCCCACAAUUGCCUUUCGCGCAUUGGAGAAUGACUCCGAAAUAAAAGAUCCAGGAAUCUUCUCUCCUUUCCGUGAGUCCUGUAACUCUGAAGACCUGCACUUCGCCCGCGGGGCUAUGCAGGCGAUUUAUGGUGUGGAAGAAAUUAACCCAUAAGAAAGUGAGAAAGCUAUCCAGAAGAAUCACUGUAAAGAUGAAUUUAAGCCAAAUAUAGGACUUUAACAACGUUGACACCAAGCAAAUAGGUGGGGAAUCACCAGGGGACUUACAAUAAGCUUCUUAAAAAUUUGACUGAGUCCCUUCUACAAGUCUUAUAUCGUAAUAAUUAAUUAUCUGGAGACUGUAUAGCAGCUUGUUUAUUUUGGUGGGUGAUACUUUGUAUGGGCAUGAUUCAAAGUAGCAUUGGUGGUCCAUGGGCCUGAGCAGUAACAGCAACUGUAUUCUCAAUGGCUGGAAAGAUGACAUUCAGUUCAAUUUAGCAUAUUCAGAAGCCAUUAAUUUUCUAGCGGUGACUGGCAGCACCUUUAGAAAAGAUGACUACUUUUAUCAUAGCUCUCUUCCUGGAUCCUUUCAAUUGAAAUUCUUUGGCUGAUAUACAACAUACCUUCCCUGCCUUAUUGGGUGAGACAGGCUGAUGUGAUGGGAUGAAGAUGGUUCCAUAGGUAACCUGGCCCUAGUAGGGCUUUAUGGGCCAUAACCAACACCUUGAAUUGGGCCUGGAAGCAAACCAGCACCUAAUGCAGCUCAUACAGCAGAAGUGUUACAUGCACCAUUCUGUGGGUGCCCAAAAUUGCCCUUGUGGCUGCAUUUUGUAACAGCUGAAAUUUUUGGAUACUUUUCAAGGGUAACCUUAUGUAGAUCACAUUGCAAUUUAUGUAAACCAGUCAAGAUAUCAUGACAGAUGCCCCAAGGGCUGUUGUAGUACUUUUCUACUAAAUGAGGCAAAUAAAUACAUUGGUUGAACAUUGACCAUCCCUAAACCUACUUGCAGGACAUUGUGCUGCUCCAUCUAUUUCAUUAAACUCCCAUGGAAAUGUCUGGAAAGUUGCUAAUUAUACUAAGAAAGUUAAAUGAGUGAAUGUUAGUCAGGUUUAUCUUGUUUCUUCUUUUAUAUAUUGGCAUUGCAAUAGAUCGAAUCCAGUCAUUUGAAGCAUAUACAAUCUGUAAGGGAAUUUUAAAUUGUAAUUCAAUGUUAGGAAAAAAUUAUGUCCCCUUAGAAAUCUUAACCUUUAGCACCUGCAAUAAGUUUGGAUAGGUAACACAUUUCAAAUUUUAGUAACAUUUUCAGGAACAGAUACCAGUAUUAGAGACUCCAUAUAAUAGUUAUUGGAUCCACUCCUACUUUUAUCUAAGGACACUGCAAAAUACUUCAGAGAAAGGAGUUAAUUCCUGUGUGGAAAAGAUCAUCCUUGUAUAUCUGGAGAAUAUCUUUUAGUCAACAGUAAUGUUUUUAAUAUUGAUAAAUUAAAUACACCCUCUCUAACAUUUUAUCCAAUAAGAAUAGGAGAACAAAGGUGUAUGGGGCAAUUUUAAGAUUGUUAAACAAUAUUUUAAACACUGUUCAUUCAUGUCUGCUAAAAAUGUCUAUUGCAUUCCUAAUCAAUGUUAUUUCAAUAUAUUAAUUUUACCCUUUCAUGGCACUGUAAUUUUGAGUCUGCCUAUUUGCUUGUCUAGUUAUUUCCCCCCCCCCUUGAUUCUUUUGUUGGCGGGUCCUAUUUCUCUGAACAAAUAUUCCUUGAAGCAGCUUAUAUUAGAGCAUUGCCCUCUCCUUUCUUAGGCCUGGAUAUCUUCCAAAGACUUUGCUCUUCUGUUCUGCUCACACAUUCAAACAAAUCUACCUAAUUGUUUUCAGUUUCCUUGAGUAUAGAUUAAUUCAACCAAUCAUUAUUAGCAGCUUUACCAAACAUAAUAAGCUCAGCACAAACAAUAAGUUUAUAUUGUGUAGAUAUGUACUAUUGAUUGCCUCUCUGAGUUCAUUGCAAAUAUUUUGUUUUGAAAAAUGAGUUUAUAUUUUAAGGAUUUUAAAAGAUUUCAGAGGUAGCAUUAGAUGCCUUUUGAAUUUGCUUUGCAGGAUGCUGCUUCAUACAGUAUUAUUUUCUGUUCCACUUCCUUUCAUUCUUGCUUGAAAGUGUACCUUGAAUAAGUUAUGAAUUACGAUACAGGAUCUUCCCCUCAACUCUUCUCAUCUGUUCCAUUGCUAAAUUGCAUGAGCUCUCAGUUCCUUGCUGUAUCCUCUAUAACUGUAUCAUCUAAUUAACCUAAUGGAGAUUAAAGUUUAUCUUGAAUAAUAA